AGGCUGCGUGUGAUGACGGCAUAGUUCAGCAGAUGACUCGUGGUGAUCAUGCUGUUUCUGUCUUUCGCUCCUAUCUGAUGCGGCCU
rfam:Chlamydotis undulata macqueenii contig71569, whole genome shotgun sequence.